rnacentral:rRNA from 1 species
AGACUCCGCUUGAUCCUGGCGGACCCAACUGCUAUCGGGAUGAGACUAAGCCAUGCGAGUCGCACGCUUCCUAGCCACGGUGGGAGCGUGGCGUACGGCUCAGUAACAUGUGGCUAACCUACCCUCAGGACUGGGACAACUUCGGGAAACUGAGGCUAAUCCCGGAUGGACGGAGAGGCCUGGAAUGGUUCUCCGUUGAAAAGGCUCUAGGGGCAUGCUCUCUAGAGUUGCCUGAGGAUGGGGCCGCAGCCGAUCAGGUUGUUGGUGAGGUAACGGCUCACCAAGCCUAUAACCGGUACGGGCCGUGAGAGCGGGAGCCCGGAGAUGGGCACUGAGAUAAGGGCCCAGGCCCUACGGGGCGCAGCAGGCGCGAAACCUUUGCAAUGCGCGAAAGCGUGACAGGGUCAUCCCGAGUGCCGUCCGCUGAGGAUGGCUUUUGCCUGGUCUAACCAGCCAGGUGAAUAAGGGGAGGGCAAGUCUGGUGUCAGCCGCCGCGGUAAUACCAGCUCCUCGAGUGGUUGGGACGAUUAUUGGGUCUAAAGCGUCCGUAGCCGGCUGGAAAAGUUCUCCGUAAAAUCCAACGAUCCAAUCGUUGGAUCGCGGGGAAUACUUUCCGGCUUGGGGGCGGGGGAGGUCGGCGGUAGUCCCGGGGUAGGGGCGAAAAAGGAAAUGAAAAGUUUCCGUUCGCAGUCUUAUAAUCCCGGGAGGACCACCAGUGGCGAAGGCGGCCGACUAAAACGCGCCCGACGGUGAGGGACGAAAGCUGGGGGAGCGAACGGGAUUAGAUACCCCGGUAGUCCCAGCUGUAAACGAUGCAGGCUAGGUGUUAGGACGGGUACGGCCCGUCCUAGUGCCGCAGGGAAGCCAUUAAGCCUGCCACCUGGGGAGUACGGCCGCAAGGCUGAAUUCUCAUAUGGCAAGAAAUCGUGCCGUUGAGACAGUUCACUUAAAGGAAUUGGCGGGGGAGCACCACAAGGGGUGAAGCUUGCGGUUUAAUUGGAGUCAACACCGGGAACCUUACCAGGGGCGACAGUUGGAUGAAGGUCAGAUUAAAGGUCUUACCGGACUAGCUGAGAGGAGGUGCAUGGCCGUCGCCAGACCUCAGCCCGGAAUCACCCAAAACUCGGAACAUACACCCGAAGCCAUUCAACCAUAUCUUGCCGGACUCGUAGCAUCCGAUGGCAACAUACAACCACGUGAAGUCAGAAUUGCCACGAGUAUUUGGCGUCUCUCGGUUUCACACCGACGAGUCUCAAGGCAGAAGAAGAGGUAUACAGGCUGAAGAUGUAUUCUCGCAAAAAUCUCGAGCUAUUUGCUCGAUCAUUCAGGAUUAGGCAUCCUGUGAAAAUUGCGAAGAUUGGUUCCGCGCUGGGGGGCGAGUUCGUGCCGUGAGGUGUUCUCUUAAGUGAGAAAACGAACGAGACCCGUGCCCUUAGUUGCCAGGGCAUUCCCUCGGGAAUGCAGGCACACUAGGGGGACUGCCUCCGCUAAGGGGGAGGAAGGAGCGGGCCACGGCAGGUCAGUAUGCCCCGGAUCCCCUGGGCCACACGCGAGCUGCAAUGGCUGGGACAAUGGGCUCCGACCCCGAAAGGGGAAGGCAAUCCCUAAACCCAGCCUCAGUUGGGAUCGAGGGCUGCAACCCGCCCUCGUGAACAUGGAAUCCCUAGUAACCGCGUGUCAUCAUCGCGCGGUGAAUACGUCCCUGCUCCUUGCACACACCGCCCGUCGCUCCACCCGAGUCUGGUUUUGGUGAGGUGCAGCCCUGUUGGUUGCCUCGAACCUAAGCUAAGCAAGGGGGGAGAAGUCGUAACAAGGUGGCCGUAGGGGAACCUGCGGCCGGAUCACCUCCUUAG